UACGAAGGGUGCAAGCGUUACUCGGAAUUACUGGGCGUAAAGGCGUGCGCAGGCGGUGAUGUAAGACAGAUGUGAAAUCCCCGGGCUCAACCUGGGACCCUGCAUUUGUGACUGCAUCGCUAGAGUACGGCAGAGGGGAUGGAAUUCCGGCGUGUAGCAGUGAAAUGCGUAGAUAUGCGGAGGAACACCGAUGGCGAAGGCAAUCCCCUGGGCCUGUGACUGACGCUCAUGCACGAAAGCGUGGGGAGCAAACAGGAUU
rnacentral:rRNA from 1 species